CCGCCCCGACCAACAGCCUUUUUGGGUCCCAAACGAUUAAAUCACCUUCACAAAGAUCACCACACACUUUGAUAGAGAUUAGGUGAGUGAUUAUCAAGGGAGCACGAGAAGUACUCGAUGAGAUAUGUGGAGGUAGAAUUUCCCGAUAUGAUGUGAAAGAGAAAGGCUCGGCUAUUAUUCAAUAGUUAUGAAAAAUGAACACAAAGAGGAAUCCUCGAAGAGGCCUACGAUACUACGAUCGUCCAAUACCAAAUUCCCAACGUGAUUUUCACCAUUGUGGAGAUUCAAUAUAUAGACUUACAAUGAGAAAAUUCAGCAACAACUAACAAACUAAAUUCAAAUUCAAAUUACAACUAAAGAAGCUGCAACAAACUAACUACCAGCCGAGAUAUUUGCGCCUCCCUUUUGACCACGCCUACUCCUCCUCUGUUUCCUCCGAAAUCGCUGGCCAAGUGACUUGGCGGUUCCCCCGUUUGUAGACCCUCCAAACCGUAUCACACUUGCUGCUCACCGCACUCAGAAUCCCCCUCUUUCAAUUCCUCAAUAUACAUCUCAGUUUACAAACUCAACAAUCCAAAUUCAACCCCAACCAAGAGACAAAUCAAGAAAAGAAACACUCUGCACAAUACCAAUUAAACACAACAGCAACAGAACCGUCGAGAAAUUCACAUAAAAAAUCAGACUUCUCACGAAAUGAUCAAAACCCCAAAUAAGCCCCACACCAAAACCUAAUUCGAAAAUCAACAAAACCACUAUAAAUUAUUAUUUAUAAAAAAGAAGAAAAACACACCAGCCCUUCACCUCGAACAUCAACAACAGCAACAACAACAAAAUCUCCUAUUUCCCUUAAUCCUACACCAACUCUGAUAAUCCCGAGAAAUAGAAUGGAAAUCGGGGUAAAAAAUGGGCAUGUUCAAACAACUAAGACACGAAAACUAAACCCCGAAAAAGAUCGAAUUAGAUGAAAUUGCUCGAAGAUGAAGAAAAG